rnacentral:rRNA from 1 species
GUCUAUAGUCAUGUCACCCUGAAUAAGCCCAAUCUCAUCUGACCUUGAAAGCUAAGUAGGGUCUGGUCUGGUCAGUACUUGGAUGGAAGACUGCCUUGGAAUACUGGGUACUGUAGGCU